UUGACCUCAAAUCAGGUAGGACUACCCGCUGAACUUAAGCAUAUCAAUAAGCGGAGGAAAAGAAACUAACAAGGAUUCCCCUAGUAACUGCNANNGNAGCGGGAAAAGCUCAAAUUUAAAAUCUGGUAGUCNUUGGCUGCCCGAGU
rnacentral:rRNA from 1 species